AGCAUUGUGAAGAGAACAGAAUGUUGAAGUUAGGAAAAGAACUGAAGCCUGAAUUGAAGAGAUGAGCAGAUAACAGGAUUUAGUGGAGCACAUUGAGCAAAAUCAUCUUAGAAAUACAGAUGACGACAUUUUUAAGCAAAAACCAAGGAUAAAGGCUAAGGAAGAAGAAAUUCAGUGUGAGUACAAAGCUUAUGACAUGAUGUAUAAAGUGUUCAGAGACAAAAGGAAUCCAAGAGACUGGGAA
rnacentral:lncRNA from 1 species